rnacentral:rRNA from 1 species
AUGAACGCUGGCGGCGUGCCUAAUACAUGCAAGUCGAGCGAACAGACGAGGAGCUUGCUCCUCUGACGUUAGCGGCGGACGGGUGAGUAACACGUGGAUAACCUACCUAUAAGACUGGGAUAACUUCGGGAAACCGGAGCUAAUACCGGAUAAUAUAUUGAACCGCAUGGUUCAAUAGUGAAAGACGGUUUUGCUGUCACUUAUAGAUGGAUCCGCGCCGCAUUAGCUAGUUGGUAAGGUAACGGCUUACCAAGGCAACGAUGCGUAGCCGACCUGAGAAGGUGAUCGGCCACACUGGAACUGAGACACGGUCCAGACUCCUACGGGAGGCAGCAGUAGGGAAUCUUCCGCAAUGGGCGAAAGCCUGACGGAGCAACGCCGCGUGAGUGAUGAAGGUCUUCGGAUCGUAAAACUCUGUUAUUAGGGAAGAACAAAUGUGUAGGUAACUAUGCACGUCUUGACGGUACCUAAUCAGAAAGCCACGGCUAACUACGUG